rnacentral:rRNA from 1 species
GGCGAUUUUUGCUGUGGGGGUACACCCGGUCCCAUACCGAACCCGGAAGUUAAGCCCACACGCGCCGAUGGUACUGCAGGGGCAACCCUGUGGGAGAGUAGGGCGUCGCCAU